rnacentral:rRNA from 1 species
CCUACGGGGGGCAGCAGUGGGGAAUAUUGGACAAUGGGCGAAAGCCUGAUCCAACCAUGCCGCGUGUGUGAAGAAGGCCUUCGGGUUGUAAAGCACUUUCAGUGGGGAAGAAAGCCUUGGGGCUAAUACCCUCGAGGAAGGACAUCACCCACAGAAGAAGCACCGGCUAACUCCGUGCCAGCAGCCGCGGUAAUACGGAGGGUGCGAGCGUUAAUCGGAAUUACUGGGCGUAAAGCGCGCGUAGGCGGUCUGAUAAGCCGGUUGUGAAAGCCCCGGGCUCAACCUGGGAACGGCAUCCGGAACUGUCAGGCUAGAGUGCAGGAGAGGAAGGUAGAAUUCCCGGUGUAGCGGUGAAAUGCGUAGAGAUCGGGAGGAAUACCAGUGGCGAAGGCGGCCUUCUGGACUGACACUGACGCUGAGGUGCGAAAGCGUGGGUAGCAAACAGGAUUAGAUACCCUAGUAGU